UACCACGGCGCGCCAGUACAUGUCUAGAAGUUGGCAGUGCACAUUAAUAACAUUUUAAAGAAAAUAUAUUGUGGAGAGCCACUUCCCAGAGGGAUCCGAGGGUAGACCAAGUCCCAGUGGAUUGGAUACCGAGGGCGUUCAUUGAAGUAUGACAGCUUUCCUGGAUGGCGGAGCGUGUCGCACAACCAGUUACACCAGGCGACAGAUGGGGCGCCAGCAUUCCAGUUCAUGGCGGGUCGUUGGUUUGACCCUCUGAGGCUGACGCGAGGUCCGCAGCCAGCCAGGGCACGCCACUCUUCGGCUUGCUACCGUGGACAGUCGUCUCGGCUCCCCACACAAGACAGAGACUUUCUUGGCAAGGGGCCGCAGAUUCGGACGCCAGAUCGGGUGCAGUCGUUGUCGCCACGUUCCCAGCUACGCCAGCCGAGGAAGAAGCAGGAGCGGGGCCGGCCUACGGCUCCUGGCGGAGCAGCACGGAGUCAACGGGAACAGUGGUCGCUGAGUCGGCUGCUGGCGCAGCCAUCCUGACGUAAUCGGAACUCUACAGCUGGCGAACAAAGCUGGCAAGACACAGUGUUGCAUUGCACAGGUCACUGGGGCAGUGGCCUCAGCAUUGCGGGGCUGUGACGUGGACUGAGGUGAACGAAGCUCUGUAGUGGAAAUGAAUAAAUCAUUUGAAAAGCU